CCUACGGGUGGCAGCAGUGGGGAAUAUUGCACAAUGGGCGCAAGCCUGAUGCAGCCAUGCCGCGUGUGUGAAGAAGGCCUUCGGGCUGUAAAGCACUUUCAGCGGGGAGGAAGGCGUUAAGGUUAAUAACCUUGGCGAUUGACGUUACCCGCAGAAGAAGCACCGGCUAACUCCGUGCCAGCAGCCGCGGUAAUACGGAGGGUGCAAGCGUUAAUCGGAAUUACUGGGCGUAAAGCGCACGCAGGCGGUCUGUCAAGUCGGAUGUGAAAUCCCCGGGCUCAACCUGGGAACUGCAUUCGAAACUGGCAGGCUAGAGUCUUGUAGAGGGGGGUAGAAUUCCAGGUGUAGCGGUGAAAUGCGUAGAGAUCUGGAGGAAUACCGGUGGCGAAGGCGGCCCCCUGGACAAAGACUGACGCUCAGGUGCGAAAGCGUGGGGAGCAAACAGGAUUAGAUACCCCAGUAGUC
rnacentral:rRNA from 1 species